GGCAUGAUGGCCUGUACCCGAAACCGACCCAGGUGGGGUGGUAGAGAAUACCGAGGGGCGCGAGGUAACUCUCUCUAAGGAACUCGGCAAAAUGGCCCCGUAACUUCGGGAGAAGGGGUGCCACCGCAAGGUGGUCGCAGUGAAGAGGCCCAGGCGACUGUUUACCAAAAACACAGGUCUCCGCUAAGUCGCAAGACGAUGUAUGGGGCUGACGCCUGCCCAGUGCCGGAAGGUUAAGGAAGCUGGUCAGCGCAAGCGAAGCUGGCGACUGAAGCCCCGGUGAACGGCGGCCGUAACUAUAACGGUCCUAAGGUAGCGAAAUUCCUUGUCGGGUAAGUUCCGACCCGCACGAAAGGCGUAACGAUCUGGGCGCUGUCUCGGAGAGAGGCUCGGCAAAAUAGAAUUGUCUGUGAAGAUGCGGACUACGUGCACCCGGACAGAAAGACCCUAUGAAGCUUUACUGUAGCUUGGUAUUGUGCCCGGGCUCUGAAUGCGCAGGAUAGGUGGGAGGCUUUGAUCCAUGGCUUGCGGGUCAUGGUGAGCCAACGGUGAGAUACCACUCUUUCAGAGCUAGGGUUCUAACGGUCACCCGUCAUCCGGGGACCGGACAGUAUCAGGUGGGCAGUUUGACUGGGGCGGUCGCCUCCUAAAAGGUAACGGAGGCGCGCAAAGGUUUGCUCAGGCUGGUUGGAAAUCAGCCGACGAGUGCAAAAGCAGAAGCAAGCUUGACUGUGAGACCUACAAGUCGAACAGGGACGAAAGUCGGCCUUAGUGAUCCGACGGUUCUGAGUGGAAGGGCCGUCGCUCAACGGAUAAAAGUUACUCUAAGGAUAACAGGCUGAUCUCCCCCAAGAGUUCACAUCGACGGGGAGGUUUGGCACCUCGAUGUCGGCUCAUCGCAACCUGGGGCUGAAGUCGGUCCCAAGGGUUGGGCUGUUCGCCCAUUAAAGCGGUACGCGAGCUGGGUUCAGAACGUCGUGAGACAGUUCGGUCCAUAUCCGGUGCACGCGCAGGAACAUUGAGAGGAUUUCUCCCUAGUACGAGAGGACCGGGAGGAACGCACCUCUGGUGUGCCAGUUAUCGUGCCAACGGUAAACGCUGGGUAGCCAUGUGCGGAGUGGAUAACCGCUGAAAGCAUCUAAGUGGGAAGCCCACCUCAAGAUGAGUGUUCCCAUGGCAUAAGCCAGUAAGGUCACGGGAAGAACACCCGUUGAUAGGCUCUACGUGGAAGCCGGGUAACCGGUGAAGCGGAGGAGUACUAAUAGACCGAGGGCUUGAC
rnacentral:rRNA from 1 species